AGCAGUAGCCGCGGUAAUACGUAGGUGGCAAGCGUUGUCCGGAUUUACUGGGCGUAAAGCGAACGCAGGCGGACUGUUAAGUAGGAAGUGAAAGGUCGGAGCUCAACUCCAACAUUGCUUCCUAUACUGGCAGUCUUGAGUAGCGGAGAGGAAGGGGGAACGACACGUGUAGCGGUGAAAUGCGUUGAUAUGUGUCGGAACACCCAUGGCGAAAGCACCCUUCUGGACGCAAACUGACGCUCAGGUUCGAAAGCCAAGGUAGCGAACAGGAUUAGAUACCCGGGUAGUCCCUGUCUCUUAUAC
rnacentral:rRNA from 1 species